rnacentral:lncRNA from 1 species
GUUCUCCUCUAUUGUUUCCCCAGAACUGCGGGGAACAAACCUGUCACAUUGUUACAACAGCCGAAACAUUCAGGCCAGAAUGAUGCAUCGGCAAUUAAGGGCUCCAUCAUUUCAAGCAAUUAAAAUAAACGCUUUAUUUGAAAACUAAUUAAUUCUACCUACAUAUUUUUCCCAUGACAAUAUCCUAUGAUUACUUGAUUUAUGACAUCUAAUUAUUCUUUAUUAAUCUAAUUGAGAAUAAUCGCGUUAUCCUAUCUCCCCUGGCACCAACUGCCCGGGGUGGAGGCCGCAGCCCCUGCACACAGCCCAUGUGUGGCACUGGCCGUUUCCCUGUGUGGUGCCCUGCUCUACUACUGGCUUUUCCUCCCAGAGGGCAAAGGCACAGGAAACUUAAUCUGGAGCACAGCUUCGGUUCUGCUUGCCCUUUGAGAUGUCAAAGCAAGACAGAUUCAAAAAUUAAAGGCAAGGACUCCGACACAAGGUCAAACCGAGCUACACCUGGACCCAGACAUGCCAGCUUCCAGAUUUCAGCCUCAAUUCGCACCACCAACUCCAGUUUGUCUUCUCAGAAGGAACCACCUUCCACUCAGGUGUCCACAAAAUCAUAGCGUGGUACAGUCACGCAUCACAAAAACCAAC